UUUUCAUUCUUCACCCUAUCUCACCGGUCAGAGAAGCGAGAGAGUGUGUGAAAUGAAGAGA
rnacentral:pre_miRNA from 1 species